rnacentral:rRNA from 1 species
UACGUAGGUGGCGAGCGCUGUCCGGAUUUACUGGGUGUAAAGGGCGUGUAGCCGGGAAGGCAAGUCAGAUGUGAAAUCCGGAGGCUCAACCUCCGAAUUGCAUUUGAAACUGUUUUUCUUGAGUACUGGAGAGGCAGACGGAAUUCCUUGUGUAGCGGUGAAAUGCGUAGAUAUAAGGAGGAACACCAGUGGCGAAGGCGGUCUGCUGGACAGCAACUGACGGUGAGGCGCGAAAGCGUGGGGAGCAAACAGG